ACCGGAUCAACCAUUCCUUGGUUUUCAGAACCAAGUCCCUUCCCCCGAGACCAACCCAUCAUUUCUAAAAGUUGUUUUCCUUUGCCAUUAUUUAUAGCGGGAGCGCUAGAACCAACAACAUGACCGUCCAUACGCUUUUUUGUAUUGGUUGACACACUUCCUUCCUGUAUUUGCACGCGUUUCCUUUUUUUCAAACCUUUAGGAGUCAUUUCAACAAGUUUGGAUUUUCUUUUCUUUGACAAUUUCACGUCAGUUUGAAGUGCAAAAUGACGAUCAUACUCAAUCAUGCUCAACGAAGUCUCUUCUUCCGCAAUGUGGCUCAUAUAAUCUAGUUCCACUUCUUUUCUCCUUUCACCAAACAGCAUUUCAUAUUUUUCUAAAGCAUCCUCAUUGCUCAAGUGCUUCGAUGGCUUCUUUUUUGGUUGAACAAUCUUUGGCUUCCUUGGAGGAGGUUUUGGAGAUGCCUCUACAUUUUCCCAUUGAGAAGAUGUAAUAAAAGAACCGUCUUCCACAAUAAUUGCCAUUGUAUUAAUAAAUGUUCGAAAAUUCAGCAAAUUUACAAAAACCAGCCUGAGUUGGCAUUGGUGCUAUAAAGAAUGCACAACCCAAGAAACUUAAAUUUUAUGAGAUCAAGGAUAAUAAUAGGGAUUUAUUAAAAUCAAGCCUGACUAUUCCACAAAUUCGCUCUCAAUUAUAAAAGUUUUGUUCGUGCAGUAUAGCUUGCUACUAUAAACCAAGUGUGACUUGGUUGAUGAAUAAUUGUUACUUUGGGUAAGUAAAUACUAUCGCAGUGGUUUUGAUCAAUUAUUAGCAAUACCCUGAUAGAAAGGCUCAAAUAUAAUUUUGCAUGUUAAAAAUACUAGAAUUCUUCAAUGCUGUCCGGCAAAAAUUUCUUCAAACAAUCAAGUUUUAAGUUGACGCCGCAAGAUGUCUUUCAUUUUCUUAAAAGAAAAAAAACAAGCUAGGUCAUCAAUAAAAUAAUAUGAUACUGGAAAUAAACAUUCUCUGAUGCACAUUUACUAAUCUUUCCGUCUGCAAGUUUCAUAACCUCAUAUUAGGAAACCAACUACCCUGCAUGGAUUAAUAUUUAGACCUUAGACUACAAUUUGAACAAUGUUCUUCAAACACACCUUUUCUAAUCACUAGAAUAACAGGUCCAAACAUUUGUACCAUACAUUCCGUAUGCACACUACUAAACAAAAUCCCUUUAUUCAC